rnacentral:rRNA from 1 species
GUCCAGACUCCUACGGGAGGCAGCAGUGGGGAAUAUUGCACAAUGGGGGAAACCCUGAUGCAGCAACGCCGCGUGGGUGAAGGAGCGUUUCGGCGCGUAAAGCCCUGUCAGCGGGGAAGAAGAAAGACGGUACCCGACCAAGAAGCCCCGACUAACUACGUGCCAGCAGCCGCGGUAAUACGUAGGGGGCAAGCGUUAUCCGGAUUUACUGGGUGUAAAGGGAGCGUAGACGGCUGUGCAAGCCAGAUGUGAAAGCCCGGGGCUCAACCCCGGGACUGCUUUGGAAACUGUGCAGCUAGAGUGCAGGAGAGGUAAGUGGAAUUCCUAGUGUAGCGGUGAAAUGCGUAGAUAUUAGGAGGAACACCAGUGGCGAAGGCGGCUUACUGGACUGUAACUGACGUUGAGGCUCGAAAGCGUGGGGAGCAAACAGGAUUAGAUACCCGAGUA